GUGCAACGGUUCAAUCAAUGCAUCAAUGGCAACGGUCACGUGAAACGCAGUGGAAAGUAAAUGUGGCCCUUGGCCUUUGUGCACGUGUCAAGCUAACAGAUCCAAACUCACUUAUGUAUUGAAAGAAACAAUGGCAGUGCUGAACGGAAUCUCAAACAUGAGUUGCUCACCCCUCACUCCAAUAUGUUCAUCGUUUCCUACUCCGUCGCGCCGGAGGUGGUCUUCGGUGGCGGAGGGGCCCAUAAAUAUAACUAAACAACAUCAACUCACUCAAAAAAUGACGCUGCUCAUGAAUCUGAAAUCCAAACUUCCUAACUUCUCAUGGAUUGUAGAAAUCGAUAGCUCUGCCGGUACAAAUGUAUUUUGCAGCAUGAUGCUUACGCCGAUUAAUUGAAGCUCUUCAUUAGAUUCCUGUUGCAAAUCCCUUUUCGAUUUUUCUGUUUGUGUGUAUGAAUAAUUGCGGGUGAGGUCGCGGUUGAAGAAUGGAAGUUGGGUUUUUUGUGCAGUUCAUUUGCCUUUUAUGCAUCUUCAGCGUUUGGCUUACGGCUCAUGCAACUUUUGCUUUUUUUGCUGCCGCUAUUUGUUGCGUCCUGUUGCAGGUUUGUGUGGUCGCCGUAUUGGUGCACUCAUAGGUCCAACUUGCCUUGGUUAAUGGCCUGAAUUGUCUUUCCGCCACGGAAGUGCAAUUGGUGUGUUAGGCUCUUGGUGAUAUUCUAACUAGGUGAAAUGCAUUGUCAUGCUGCUAGAACUAUUCCAAUAGGCCCUUUAUGCUAUGAAUGAAAUGAUCUCGCUUCCAGAAUUAGCCAUGGAUGCCGUGAACCUUGACCAUGUUAUAAACUUUUUGGUUUAUUGAUAUGAUACAUUGGGCAUGAGCUUAUGAUAUAUAGUAGUAUUUCCUUGAGUGUAUUUUUGUGCAUUUGGAUGAAAUCUAACAUAGGCAUUGCUUCAGGUAUGCAGGCUAUUGUGAAUUGGUUUGGAUUGCUGGCGCCGUUUUUUCUACCGAAAAUUGGAGCUUUGGAUGUUCGAUUGCCGCGGUCGAGAAGGCUCGAAAAAAUGGCGUGAAUUAGUUUUGAUUCUGUUUCUUCUAUUUUUCUUUGAAUCCAGUGUUUCACUUUUAUCUUCACGGCUUGGUGUGACGGUGGCGGCGACUGCGUGUCGGAAGCUUCUUUUGGAUCCCGAUCGAGUGAUUUUCAAUUACAGUGUAUAUGGUUAUAUGCUAUGCUUCUAAUUCAAAGUUCCAACUUACAAGAGGAUAAUGGAUGUAUGUAUAAUGAAUGAUUAGUGAGUUAAGCUAUAUAAUGACUUUUCAAUAUGUAAAUACUUCACAAAUAAUUAACUGCUAUCUAAUGGUAUCAUAGAAAUUCUGUUA